rnacentral:rRNA from 1 species
AAAGCGGCGAACGGGUGAGUAACACGUGGGCAACCCACCCUUGGUAUCCGGAUAGCCCGGGGAAACUCGGAUUAAUACGGAAUGGCCCAACAGCUCUUCGGGGCGGUUGGAAAGGUAGCUUCGGCCUCCGACCAAGGACGGGCCCGCGGUGGAUUAGCUUGUUGGUGAGGUAACGGCCCACCAAGGCGACGAUCCAUAGCUGGUCUGAGAGGACGAUCAGCCACACUGGGACUGAGACACGGCCCAG